CAGAGUAGUAGGAAUCACCGUCAACGGUGGCGUCUGGCUCCAGGGCUCCAGCAUCUGGUUGCGACAACCAGGUAGAAGGGAAAGGGGGAAAAGAGGAUAAAAGCAACCGUGAGUACUCAUCCAAAGUACUCGCAAGCAAGGAGCUACACUACAUAUGCAUGGGUGUAUGUGUAAAGGGCCAUAUCGGUGGACUGAACUUCAGAAUGCCAGAAUAAGAGGGGGAUAGCUAAUCCUGUCGAAGGCUACGCUUCUGGCAGCCUCCAUCUUGCAGCAUGUAGAAGAGAAUAGACUGAAGUCCUCCAAGUAGCAUCGCAUAGCAUAAUCCUACCCGGCGAUCCUCCCCUCGUCGCCCUGUGGAAAAGCGAUCACCGGGUUGUCUGUGGAACUUGUCUGGGUGUGUUUUAUUAAGUAUCCAGUUCUAGUUGUCAUAAGGUCAAGGUACAACUCCGGGUCAUCCUUUUACCGAUGGACAUGGCUAUUCGAAUAGAUAAACUUCCCUGCAGGGGUGCACCACAUAACCCAACACACUCGAUCCCAUUUGGCUGGACACACUUUCCUGGGUCAUGCCCGGCCUCGAAAGAUCAACACGUCGUAGCCCCACCUAGGCACAACAGAGAGGUCAGCACGCCGGUCUAAAUCCUAUGCGCGCAGGGGUCUAGGCCCAUUGCCCAUUGCACACCUGCACAUUGCGUGGGCGGCCGGAAGCAUAACUAGCCCCCUUAAUACAAGAGCAGGUGAGGGAGUCCCGCACUAGGGGGUGUCCGGAUAGCCAAACUAUCAUCAUCGGCCGGACUCCAAGACUAUGAAGAUACAAGAUUGAAGACUUCGUCUCGUGUCCGGAUGGGACUUUCCUUGGCGUGGAAGACAAGCUUGGCGAUACGGAUAUGUAGAUCUCCUACCAUUGUAACCGACUCUGUGUAACCAUAGCCCUCUCCGGUGUCUAUAUAAACCGGAUGGCUUUAGUCCAUAGGACGAACAACAAUCAUACCAUAGGCUAGCUUCUAGGGUUUAGCCUCCUUGAUCUCGUGGUAGAUCUACUCUUGUAAUACCCACAUCAUCAAUAUCAAUCAAGCAGGACGUAGGGUUUUACCUCCAUCAAGAGGGCCCGAACCUGGGUAAAACAUCUUGUCCCUUGUCUCUUGUUACCAUCCGCCUAGACGCACAGUUCGGGACCCCUACCCGAGAUCCGCCGGUUUUGACACCGACAUUGGUGCUUUCAUUGAGAGUUCCUCUGUGUCGUCACCAAUAGGCUCGAUGGUUUCUUCGAUCAUCAACAACGACGCAGUCCAGGGUGAGACUUUUCUCUCCGGACAGAUUUUCGUAUUCGGCGGCUUUGCACUGCGGGCCAAUUCGCUUGGCCAUUUGGAACAGAUCGAAAGCUACGCCCCUGGCCGUCAGGUCAGAUUUGGAAGUUUGAACUUCACGGCGGACGUCCGCGGAGACUUGAUCUUCGAUGGAUUCGAGCCACACCCGAGCGCGCUGCACUGUCACGAUGGGCAUGAUUUAGCUCUGCAGCCGGACAGUGCCCUGGAGGCCGCACACGAGCCCACUCCGGCCCUCGAUUCGGAGCCGGCUGCGCAGAUCGAGGACGGGUGGCUAGACACCGCCCCGGGGGCUGCAACCUCUACGGCGAUGGAGCCGAGUACUAACCUUGUCCCUCGUGAAGCUCGUGACUCCGAGGUGCCGGACUCCUCGCCGGACUCCGAACCUCCCGCGCCCCCUCCAAUUGAAUCCGAUUGGGCGUCGAUCAUGGAGUUCACCGCUACGGACAUCUUUCAACACUCACCUUUCGGCGACAUCUUGAGUUCGCUAAAGUAUCUCUCGUUAUCAGGAGAGCCCUGGCCAGACUGCGGUCAGGACGGUUGGGAUGCGGACGACGAAGAAAUUCAAAGCCCACCCACCACCCACUUAGUAGCCACUAUCGACGAUCUAACCGACAUGCUAGACUUCGACUCCGAAGACAUCAACAUUAUGGACGACGAUGCCGGAGACGACCAAGAACCAGCGCCUACUGGGCACUGGAAAGCCACCUCAUCAUAUGACAUAUACACGAUGGAUAUCCCAAAGGAUGGGAAUGGCGGAGGAACAGCAGAGGAUGACCCCUCCAAGAAACAGCCCAAGCGCCAGCGUUAGCGGCGCCGCUCUAAAUCCCGCCACAGCAAGAAUGGAGAUUCCGACACCGGAGAUAAUAACACCCCAGACAGUGCCAAAGACAACCCCCUCCAGCAAGAUUCAGCACAGGAGGACAGAGACGCCAGCCCUCAUGAGAGAGCGGCAGACAAAGAGGUAGAGGAUGAUAAUUACAUGCCUCCCUCCGGAGACGAGGCAAGCCUCGAUGACGACGAAUUUGUCGUGCCUAAGGAUCCCGUCGAACAAGAGCGUUUUAAACGCAGGCUUAUGGCCACGGCAAACAACCUCAAGAAAAAGCAGCAACAGCUUAGAGCUGAUCAAGAUCUGCUAGCCGACAGAUGGACUGAAGUCCUUGCGGCCGAAGAGCAUGAGCUCGAACGUCCCUCCAAAAGCUACCCCAAACGCAAGCUGCUCCCCCGAUUAGAGGAGGAGGCAUAUAAACCCGCAUCACCAGAGCACGAUACGGCUGACCGGCCACCCCGUGGCCGCGACAGAGAGGCCUCUAGGCCCUCCACUAGAACCGUACCCCGGCAUCACUCGAAAAGCACAAGACCACAAGGGAACGCUCUGGACUUGCAAGAUAUAUUGGAGGAUAAGGCAAGACAAUCAAGAUCGAUCUACGGAUCGCGUGGGCGCCCCAUGAUACGUGAUGACAACCGUCACGCCAGACACAGCAAGUCCGGCCGGGCCGAACACAGUAGACAAAGCUCUUUUGAGCUUCGUCGCGAUAUAGCCCAAUACAGAGGGCCGCACACCCACUAUGCUUUACAGAUGAAGUAAUGGAUCAUCAAAUCCCUGAAGGGUUUAAACCCGUGAAUAUUGAAUCUUAUGAUGGCACAACAGAGCCCGCGGUUUGGAUCGAAGACUAUCUCCUUCAUAUCCACAUGGCCCGCAGUGAUGAUCUUCACGCCAUCAAAUACCUCCCACUCAAGCUUAAAGGACCAGCCCGGCAUUGGCUUAACAGCUUGCCAGCAGAGUCAAUUGGGAGUUGGGAGGACCUGGAAGCCGCAUUCCUUGAUAACUUCCAGGGCACGUAUGUGCGACCACCAAACGCUGACGACCUAAGCCAUAUAAUUCAGCAGCCAGACGAAUCGGCCAGACAAUUCUGGACACGGUUCUUAACUAAGAAAAAUCAAAUCGUCGACUGUCCGGAUGCGGAGGCCCACGCGGCCUUCAAACAUAACAUCCGCGACGAGUGGCUUGCCCGGCACCUGGGACAGGAAAAGCCGAAAUCCAUGGCAGCCCUCACAUCACUCAUGACCCGCUUCUGCGCAGGAGAGGACAGCUGGCUAGCCCGCAGCAACAACCUCAGCAAAAAUUCUGGCAGUCCGGAUAUCAAGGACCGCAAUGGCAGGUCGCGUCGCAAUAAGAACAAAUGCUGCAUUAACAGCGACAAUAGUGAGGAUACGGCAGUCAAUGCCGGAUUCAGAGGCUCUAAACCCAGUCAGCGGAAAAAGCCAUUCAAAAGAACUACUCCGGGUCCGUCCAAUUUGGACCGAAUACUCGAUCGCUCGUGCCAGAUACACGGUACCCCCGAAAAGCCAGCUAACCACACCAACAGGGACUGUUGGGUAUUCAAGCAGGCAGGCAAGCUAAUUGCCGAAAACAACGACAAGGGGCUGCAUAGCGAUGACGAGGAAGAGACCCGACCGCCGAACAAUAGAGGACAGAAGGGUUUCCCCCCACAAGUGCGGACGGUGAACAUGAUAUACGCAACCCACAUACCCAAAAGGGAGCGGAAGCGUGCACUCAGGGAUGUAUACGUGAUGGAGCCAGUCGCCCCGAAACUCAACCCAUGGUCCUCCUGCCCGAUCACUUUUGAUCGAAGGGACCACCCCACCAGCAUCCGCCAUGGCGGAUUCGCCGAAUUGGUUUUAGACCCAAUCGUCGAUGGAUUUCACCUCACCAGAGUCCUGAUGGACGGCGGCAGCAGCCUGAACCUGCUUUAUCAGGAUACAGUGUGCAAAAUGGGCAUAGACCCCUCAAGUAUUAAACCUACAAAGACAACCUUUAAAGGCGUCAUACCAAGUGUAGAGGCCAAUUGUACAGGCUCAGUUACACUGGAAGUGGUCUUCGGAUCCCCGAAUAACUUCCGAAGUGAGGAGUUAAUCUUCAACAUAGUUCUGUUCCGCAGCGGCUAUCAUGCUCUGCUCGGACAUACCUGGUUUGCAAAGUUCAACGCGGUGCCGCACUACGCAUACCUCAAGCUCAAGAUGCCAGGCCCUCGAGGAGUCAUCACGGUCAACGGAAACACUGAACGCUCUCUCCGAACGGAGGAACAUACAGCGGCUCUCGCGGCAGAAGUACAGUGUAGCCUCUUAAGGCAAUUUUCGAGUCCGGCCGUUAAGCGACCGGACACGGCUAAACGCGCCCGGAAUAACCUACAACAAGACCACCUGGCACGUUCCAAGCACGCGUAGCAAUGCGGCCCCAACCCCAGCCCCUGCAAAAUUGUAAGACUGGUCCUUCGCGUACAUCAUUAUGCUCUGGAGAUACCAUGGGCAUAGGGGGAGGGGCACGACCACGAUAAGCCCAGAAUGCGGCUUAACCACACCAGGGGCUCUCAAGUGUGUCGUUCUUUUUUUUCUUUUUCUUUUUUUACCCACAGGACUCCGUUCAUCAGAGGCCCUGUCCGGCAGUAGACCUGCCGAACUCACGAUGCAACAGCCAGGGAAGGAGAAAGGCUACGACGAAUAUCCAGGUGGUCUCCAUUACGAGCAUUAAAUCUGUUUUAUACACCAUUCCGCAGCCUACCCCUGGAGGGGGACAUGUUUAAUAGUCCCAUCCCUUGCUUAUCGCACUAUUUGUAUCGUUCUGCAUCCACAGCAAUAUUACUUGAAUAAACAAUGCAGCACCUUUUUGCUUAUAAUUGCAUUUCUUUCUUAUACAUAUGUUCAUUUAUGACAUGUUGCAUCCGUACACUUUGGUACGCCUAAAUACACCAGGGGUUUAUGUUUCCCACAUCAUGGUGUGAUAAGUCCGAACACUUUCACAAGUGCGGCACCCCGAACUUAUAGCAUUAUAUGCAUCGGCUCUGAAUCAUGUCUUGGGUCAAUAGUUGGGUUUGCCUGGAUCCCAUGUUUUGGUACCUUACGUUCCAUUAUAUCGGCUAAGGUAGCACUGGGAGAACCACUGCGAUUGCGCCCCAGUUGAGCUGGGCGAGCGCCUCAGUGGAGAAAGCUAAAACUGACCGUCAUGAUGAGGCGAGAGCCGGUCGCUGUUCGAGAGGGUUUUUUUUGAGUCCCUAAAGACUUAUGCCGCUUAGAGCGAGGAACCGGCGUUGUCCGGCCCAGGCAUGGAUAGCGCCCCAAAUUCGGCCUUCCGAACACUAGGGGCUUCGCAGAAAUUUAAAAUUAUAGAAUUCUAUGGCUAAGUGAGAGUGUUCAAGCAUUAUAAGUCCGGUUGCCUUGUUCGUUGUGUUGAGCGCCUCCCUAGAUGGACCCAAAUAUGGGAACAAGAGUGCUCAAAUUUAUCCCGAACACCCCAGCACUCGUGGCAUGGGGGCUGAAGCCGCCGACUUGCCAUCUCUCAGAUUUGAUAAAUGGCCGCACAAAAGGUAAUAUUUUAAAUUAACAAGCGUUGUUUAGCGCAUAUGAACAAAGUUUUCAGCGCACAGGAUAACAAAAUGCGAGUCUACUCAAAUAUUACAUCUUUGGAGCACUCACCCAUAAUAAUGCGGGCACCCUUUAGGACACUCUUAUAAUACAUCUCGGACGUGCGAUACCCCUUGCCCGGCGGUGGCGCGUCCGUCACAAGCUUCUCAGCAUCCAUCUUGCCCCAUUGCACCUUUGAGCGGGCAAGGGCCCAACGGGCACCUUCAAUACAGGCAGAGUGCUUGAUGACUUCAACCCAUGGACACGCAUCCACCAGCCGCCGCACCAGGCCGAAGUAGCUCCCAGGCAUGGCCUCCUUAGGCCACAGGCGAACUAUGAGGCCCUUCAUGGCCUGUUCGGCCACCUUGUGGAGCUCGACCAACUGCUUCAGCUGGUCGCUAAGGGGUACCGGAUGUCCGGCCUCAGCAUACUGAGACCAGAAGACCUUCUCCGUCGAGCUCCCCUCCUCUGCCCUAUAGAAAGCGGCAGCAUCGGACACGCUGCGGGGCAGAUCUGCAAACGCUCCUGGAGAGCUCCGAAUUCGGGUAAGUGAUAGGUAAUUCACAUUAACAUGCUUACUUUGCAUGAAAAAUGCCUUACCCGCCGCUAUUUUCUUCAACGCCUCGAUUUCCUGGAGGGCCUUGUAGGCUUCGGCCUUAGCGGCUUUGGCACUCUCAAGAGCCGAUGCAAGCUCGGACUCUCAAGUCUUCGAGUCGCGCUCCAAACUCUCAUGUUUUUCCGCGAGAGCCUGGAGCUCUUGAUCUACCUCCGCCACCCGCGCCUCCUGCUUCUCUCGCUCGGUGCGCUCCGCGGCCGCAUUACGUUCGGCCGCAGACACCGCCUCCUUCAGGGUCGCCACCUCGUUCGUGGCCCCUGCAAUACCCACGUUAUCCUUGUCAUUUUUCUUGCAACCAAAUCCUUUUCUGUAAGGUACAAUUUUAACAAGGUGUUACUCACCUUCCUUGUCCCCGAGCUGCUUCUUGGCACGGCCGAGCUCGUUCUCGGACCACUCGAGGCUUUGCUUCAAAGUAUCAACCUCCGCAGUCAGUGCGGCAGAGGUCAGCAGCACAGCCUGCAAUCCCAUAUUGACAUAUUUUUUAUGACUCCUGCGUAUAUCUUUUUAGAUCCUUAGUCCGGCUUUUCUUUCCGAACACCGAACCGAGCAUCAGGGGCUACUGUCUAUGCGGUACUAUUUUACAAAUAUCAAAAUUCUUACCUCAAAGCCUGUUAGAAGGCUGCUGCAGGCUUCAGUCAGCCCGCUCUUGGUGAGCUGAACCUUCUGAAUCACCGCACCCAUGAAGGUGCGGUGUUCCUCUUUGAUGGAAGCGCCAUUGAGCGCCUCCAGCAAGCUAUCCGGCGCCUUCGGUUGGACGGAGGCCGCCCGCGUCACGGUCUUGCCCUUCUUACGAAGGGGCCGCCCGCCGGACUCCGGAGCCACUAUAGGUUCCGGUGCGGAGUCCGGUGCAAAGUCCGGGAGGUUGCCCUGCGGCACCUUCGGGGCCUCCUCCUCCUAGCGGGUCCCUUCCCGGGAUCCCACCUCGGCAUCAUCCGCAUCACGAGGGGAGGAGGCGGUUGGACGGGAAUCCAUAUCCGACGCACCCAAGGACCCGCUCGACGAAGCGGGAAGAUCAUCCUUGGGUGGACUGCAGGGUUGUAUGCGGCAUUAGAAAGACACCAUGUGGCGAAAAGAAAAAUCAUGAAGUUAUUCGAGAGUCCGGAUACUUACGAUUUCGCCAGGGGCUUGGCCCUUGGAGGCCAGUCCUCGUCGUCGUCGCCGGCGUUGGCAGAGCGGUCCGGGGGAAGAGUCCUUCCCUUCUUGGACCCUUCGGCCUCCCUCGUUGGGGAGGCCUUCCUUUUCUUCCCUCCCCCCGCUGGGGGAGAGGCCUCUUUCUUCUCCUCCUCGCCUUCGUGGGAGGAGUCCGCCUUGGUGUCAUCAUCCGAUGACACCUGAAAACAGGAACUCUUUCGAGUGCCCGUGGCCUUCUUCUUGGCCUUCUUCUCCGGCACCACAUGGGGUGCCGGAGCCAGCAACCCCGUUAAACGGGCGUCCGCUGGGUCUUCUGGCAAAAGGGCCGGACAGAUAGUCUUCUCGGCCUUCUUCAGCCAGUCCUGUCAAAGGAGAGGGAGUUUAGAUCCCGCAUAGAGUCAAACUAUGGAAAACAAGUGUCCCGUAAAGGGCAAAAUCGCUUACCUCGCUAGUCGGACGCUGCGAGCUGAAUCCGCGAUCUUCGGUAGCGGAUGCGGGAGCCUCGACGCCCUUAAACAGCACCCUCCAGGCCUCUUCGUACGUAGUGUCGAAGAGCCCGUUCAAAGUCUGGUGCUGCGCCGGAUCAAACUCCCACAUAUUGAAGUCCCGUUGUUGGCACGGGAGAAUCCGGCCGAUGAGCAUGACCUGGACUACGUUGACAAGCUUGAGCUUCUUUUUCACUAGCUUUUGGAUGCAGGCUUGAAGUCCGGUCAGCUCCUCCGAAUCACCCCAUGUCCGGCCACUCUCUUUCCAGGAGGUCGGGGAUGCCAGAUCUGAAUUCGGGGGCCGCUGCCCAUUCAGAGUCACGCGGCUCGGCGAUGUAGAACCACCCCGAUUGCCACCCCUUAAUGGUUUCCAUGAAGGUGCCCUCGAGCCAAGUAACGUUGGGCAUCUUGCCCACCAUGGCGCCUCCGCACUCCGCUUGGCUGCCCUUCACAACCUUCGUCUUGACACUGAAGGUCUUGAGCCACAAGCCGAAGUGGGGCUGGAUGCAGAGGAAGGCCUCGCACACGACGAUAAACGCCGAGAUGUUGAGGAUGAAAUUCGGGGCCAGAUCAUGGAAAUCCAGGCCGUAGUAGAACAUGAGCCCCCGGAAAAAGGGAUGGAGUGGGAAGCCCAGUCCGCGGAGGAAAUGGAAAGGAAUACUACCCUCUCAUGGGGCCUGGGGGUGGGGAUGAGCUCCCCCUCGUCGAGGAGCCGGUGCGCGAUGUCGCUGGACAGAUAUCCGGCGCUGCGCAGCUUCUGGAUGUGCCCCUCCAUAACGGAGGAGGCCAUCCACUUGCCUCCCACUCCGGACAUAGUUGGAGAAGGUUGAGGUGAGAUGUGCGGACUUGGGCGCUAGAGCUCGAGUUCGCGUAGAUGGAUAAGCAAAGGAGGAAGAAGGCGUAGGUAAAAGGGUGGAUCUUUAUCCCCUUAUAUGGGCGGACGAAACCAUGCGUCCCCACCAGCCUGAUAAAACUCGCUUAUCUCCCAAGCACCGCAAUCAAUGGCGCGGUUGGGUUACCCAUGUCCGUAUUGAUGGGCAUCCCGGAAUAAGGGGAACACGAUCUCUGCUUCGACAAGACGUGCCAAGGAAACCGCUUCGCUAAACGCGUGGAGGUGGUAUAAUAAAAACGAUUCGAGUAAAGGCUUGGUUGUGGUGUGACGUCACGCCACAAAAUAUGUCAGCAGAUUGAACUUGUUUAAAUAUUAUUCUCUCUACGGUGGUAUGUGGAAUUUAUUUGGCAGAGCCGGACACUAUCCUGGUGUUCACAAUCUUCUAUAAAUUAUUCGGAGGAGUAACCCGCCUUGCAAUGUCGAAGACAAUAUGCGCGCCGGACUUGUCGUCAUUGAAGCCUGGUUCAGGGGCUACUGAGGGAGUCCCGGACUAGGGGGUGUCCGGAUAGCCGAACUAUCAUCAUCGGCCGGACUCUAAGACUAUGAAGAUACAAGAUUGAAGACUUCGUCCCGUGUCCGGAUGGGACUUUCCUUGGCGUGGAAGACAAGCUUGGCGAUACGGAUAUGUAAAUCUCCUACCAUUAUAACUGACUUUAUGUAACCCUAGCCCUCUUCGGUGUCUAUAUAAACCGGAUGGCUUAGUCCAUAGGACGAACAACAAUCAUACCAUAGGCUAGCUUCUAGGGUUUAGCCUCCUUGAUCUCGUGGUAGAUCUACUCUUGUAAUACUCACAUCAUCAAUAUCAAUCAAGCAGGACGUAGGGUUUUACCUCCAUCAAGAGGGCCCGAACCUGGGUAAAACAACGUGUCCCUUGUCUCCUGUUACCAUCCGCCUAGACGCACAGUUCGGGACCCCCUACCCGAGAUCCGCCGGUUUUGACACCGACAGCAGGCUUACAUUCCAAUCCGGCGCGCGCCGCUCAGUCGCUGACGUCACGAAGGCUUUGGCUGAUACCACGAUGUCGAGUGCCCAUAUCUUUCCCGCGUAGUUGGUUAGUGCGUAUAGGCCAGUGGCCAGACUCAGAUCAAAUACCAAGAUCUCGUUAAGCAUGUUCUUAUGAAGCAACCGCGGACGCCGACCAGGGCCAGGCCCACCUCUCACCUAGGUGGUCUCAACCUGCCCUGUCGCUCCGCCACAAAGUAACAGUCGGGGGUCGUCGGGAACCCAGGCCCACCUCUACCGGGAUGGAGCCACCUGUCCUUCCAGCCCCCACAUCGGAAUCACUUGCGGGUACUCCACGAGCAGACCCGACUUUAGUCACCAUCUCUAUAGUAUGUAUGUAUGUAUAAUAUAUACCCGUGAUCACCUCCCAAGUGAUCACGGCCCGAUAGUAUAGCAAGGAAGACUGACAAGAAUGUAGGGCCAAUGAUGAUAAACUAGCAUCCUAUACUAAGCAUUUAGGAUUGCGGGUAAGGUAUCAACAGAUGUAGCAACAAUGACAGGCUAUGCAACAGAAUAGGAUUAAUCGAAACAAUAACAUGCUACACUACUCUAAUGCAAGCAGUAGAGGGUAGAAUAGGCGAUAUCUGGUGAUCAAGGAGGGAGGCUUGCCUGGUUGCUCUGGCAAGAAGGACGAGUCGCCAACACCGUGGUCGAACUGGGGGUCGCCGACAGUCUCGGGGUCUAUCGGAAAGAAGUAACAGAGAGGGAUCGAACUGGGGGUCGCCGACAGUCUCGGGGUCUAUCGGAAAGAAGUAACAGAGAGGGAACACAAUAAUAACAGAGCAAUCAAAGCAUCACAAAGCGUAACAAUACAAUACGCGGUGUUCGGUGUGCCCUAACGCAGUAGUACGUGAUACCGGUGAAGGGGAGAAACAUCCGAGAAAGUAUCCCCGGUGUUUCGCGUUUUCGGGCAGGUGAUCCGGAAGGGGAAAGUUGCGUGUUCGAUAUGUUAGGGACGUGUGACGGACGAACGGGGUGCGUAUCCGGAUUCGUCUCGUCGUUCUGAGCAACUUUCAUGUGCAAAGUAUUUCCAUCCGAGUUACGGAUUAUUUUAUAUUCAUUUUCAAAGUUUAUUGCAUUUUCUAGAAUUAAUUUAAUUUGAAAAUAGAACAGAUUAUAAUUUUGUCACCUAGUGCUAUUAUAGCCAUAGUGUAUGACAGGUGGGGACAGUGGGGUUGGGUUGACCCGGUCAAAUGUUGACUGGUCAACAUAUGAAUAGUGUAAGUGGGUCCCACAUGUAAUAGGCUUAGACUAAUUAAUUAACCAACCAAUCUAAACUAAAUUAGUUUAGACCUAAUUAAACUAGGCCCGCCACACACUGCUGUGGCACAGCCCACGCGCACACAGCGCACAAACACAACGCUAGGGAGUAACUCUAUUUCUUUUAACACAAGAUAGCAUUUUGUGAUGUUUGUAGGAUUUAAUCCAUGCAUUAUCUGAAGUAGGUCCAAUGAAACAAAAUGAGGCUUGUUAUGUCUACUUUCCGUUCAUAUAAUUUGUAUCCAUGUUAGAACUUGUCUUAGCGCUGUUUAGUGGCAGUUAAGAAGGCUAGUCAUUGUAGAAAUACAAAAGCUAGCUACUGCUACAGUAACUGAAUGUUACUGUAGCCGUGUAGGAUAGCAGCAGAAGCGGCUGCGGGAGCAGCAAAGCUGCAGCAAAGCAAGUGGCAUGCACACGGCCGCGCAUGCUGGGCGCAGGGAGGGACGGACGCGAGGCGUGGGCGGCCGCGGCGCAAGCAGUGGCACAGGUUGAGCGCGGCCACGGCUCCGGCAGUGACCAGAGCAGACUGCAGCAACGCAGCGGCAGUACAAAGCAGCCAAGCAGCAGAGUAGCGCAAGGAGCAGCUGCAGGCAGGGACGAAGCUAGAAAAAAUGGGCACCGGUGUCAAUGUUGCUCACAAUAGCACCGAUAUUAGCAGUGCAAUAUGGAUAACAUUUCAGGGCAAUAUAAAGAGUGAAAAUAUGCAAUGAGCCAAUGAUAUAAACUUUAUUAUAUUAAAAUGAUUUUCAUACCCGAGUACUUGUUGGGCAAAUUCAAAAAAACAGUAAUCAGUUGUUCGCAUAUUCAGUAAAAAUAAGAAAAAAAAUAAAAUGUAAGUUGGGAGUAUUUAAUUUCUAACUUAGUGAAAACAAUAAAUAAAAGAAAUAAAUUAUUUUUACAACAAUGUACGGAACAAAUGAUACAUAAAAUAAAUAAGAUUAAGCAAAAAUAUAAAAUGAUGUGAGACUCACAUGUUAUAACUUCCUUCUCGACCUUUAAUCUUCUGUAUUCCAUAAAUCAGUCAUGGAAUCAUUCGUAGUGAUAGUAAAUAUAUAAUUAUCCACAUAGCAACUCAGGGGUAUCACUCAUGAACUGGUCACCCAUUUUGUUAUGCAAAACACUCUUGACAAUAUUCAUUUCUGAAAAGCAUCUCCUCAUCGAUUUUGGCAACUGUCAAAAUUAGCACCAUUUUUAGAAGUUGAUAUACCAAAGGAAAAGCAAGAUGUUUCUUAGUGUUAGUUAAUACUUUGACAAGAUCUGCAAUGUGAUCCAAAUUGGCAAAUCCUUGGUCUGUUUGGAGAUUGCCAAUUUACAUUCGAAGUUCAUGAUCAAGAUCCAUCAAUUACGUUGGAUAAAAGUCAUCAGGAUAAAACUCAGCUAGUUUGCAUAAAUACUCAAAGUUAAAAGAAACAAAAGAUAUUUGAAGUCUGCAUUGUCUGCAAGGUCCUGUAAUUAAUUAUCUCGGUUUGAUCUCUAAUUAAAUAUCAGUGUCUCCUGUCCGCUUCAAUAGAAAUCUAUCUAUAAUCUUCUAGUCCUAAUUGAAUCAAGGAGAUAAAUUAAAAUUUUCAAUCUUAGUAUUGCACACAUGUAUCAGCGCCUCGGGUACCUGGGAUGAACCGAAGUGGAGAAUCAAUAAUCGCAGGACUACAGAUUAGGGUGACGCGGCCGGCGGGUGGACAUCCCCGAACCAAAAUUAGCGCCG
rnacentral:lncRNA from 1 species